rnacentral:lncRNA from 1 species
UACGUGCAACGCACGUCUCAAUCGACAUCAAAUAAUUGUUAAUAAAUAGUUGUCUAAUAUUUACAUAGUUUUUCAUCCGUACAUAUCUUUAUUACUGAUUUAUAAUGUUUUUCGGAUGGAAGCAAAACUAAAUUACGGAUAAAUAGAGAAUGUGCAAAUUAGUUCAAGAUCAAUAAAUUUAUGUAACUUAUGUUGCUAGUACGGACACCCUAGUAGUCACUUAUUUGCUACUAUUUUCUUAGCCAUAUCAUCCUGAUUCUACCCUUUGUCCCAUCAUAGAAAUUGACACAUCACCCAUGGCUGCAACAGUCUCAACGUGAUGAAGAGCCAAAUCAGUUUCCUCCUCCGUCUUACACAUGACCUUGCUUCCUGUCAUGUCACAAAAGAAGAAAACAGUCCCUUUCUCUGUAAGAUUGAACAGAGUCAAGCCAUAAAAGAAAAUGGACAAGCUGAUUUUUUCAUCAUGAAAUUUUGUGUUUUGAAAUAGUUACUAAAUAUGUAAUGUUUAGUCCAGCAGCCAAAUGGUUAUACCCCAGAGUUGUUUACAUCAUUGCUUCACUCAUGGUUCAGUGCCAUGAUGGCAUAAAAGAUAUCUUAGAAAAAGCCGGAUACAUAGUAAUGCCUAAUUAACAGAUGGUCAAAGCAAUUAUCAAAAAACAUGAAGAGCAGGUUAACCAUUGUUACAUCCCAAAUCUAUGAGAACAUCUGUAAAUAAUUAUCUGUAAUGGGGUGUUUAGAGUACACCUGCUUUGGUUGUACUGGGGUGUGGUCGAGAGUGGAUGUUCGCAUCCAUUUCGAGGCUUCUUGUACAUUGUAUUUUCUCUCUUCUAUAAAAGUAUGCCUUUGGCGUACUCUCAAAAAAAAAAGAAUAUCUGUAAAUUGUAGAAGAAAAUGGCGCAGCUAUGAAAAGAAAACAAAGCUUUAACCUUGGUGUAGUAAAAACUAAAAGGUAACUUAUCCCUACAGUCUAAUAACAGAACAACACAUGAGUAAACAACUUGCUGUUUUCUGUAAAGGGUGAAUUUCAUUGGCAGCAUGUCUGAACUAUCAUAAUAAAAUUAGUCAGGCCUCCUAAAUUUUGUUACUCAAGAAACUAUCUGCAGGUCCCUGAAAUUUUGCUAUGCAUUUUUGGAAGAGAAGAGCACCAUUUCAAAUUCACAAUACUGCGUGAUAGUUUGUUUCUCGAGCCUAAACAAAAGCAAAACUUCCUCUAGACACUUGCUUAAUGUAAGAGCGGAACAAACUUUCAUAAUUUCAAACUGAAGAUUUCAAAGUCAUACACAUGGCAGAUAAUUCAUACUUUAGGAGGAAAUUAGUUUGCCUCCAAAUCCAACAGCAAUCAACAAAAAUACACAUGGAAAAUGGCAUUUAAUAGUACACUGUAAACAGAACACUGAAUGGAUAAUGAUACUAAAAUGUGUUUACAAAGGUCAACAGAAUACAGAUCUUACCAACGAACAAAGAUGAAGUGAUGAACUGACCGGUUUCAGUGAAGUGGCUAAUGUCAUGACCUCGGUUUUCUGCUGAAGCAACUCAUUUUCUCUUUCAGAUAGCUGAACUGCUAAAAUACCCACCUAUGGAAAGUACCAAAAUAUUGAAGUGUUUACAAACAAAGAGAUCAUUUAGGCAUGUAUAUAUAUGUAGGUCGACUGGUGGAGACUUCUUUGAAUAAAAACUCACCUGCUACUAUUUUUUACACAAUGAAACUGUACGUGCUUCUUAAAUAUGUGCAAGCUAGUUGUGUAUUUCAUCGAUUGUCAAGAGAGAAGGCAUCGAGGAAGGAACCAACCUGGACAUGAUGAUAGAUAGGCUAAGAAUUUAAAUUGUGAAUGAAGUGUACUAUGAUUUUCAUCAAGGUCCGGUAUUUCUUGUAUAUAUCAGCAAGAGCACAUCAAGUGCUUCUGAGUUUGAACAACAUGUUAAAUUAAACCAGCAUUCCUUUCAUCCAAGAAAUGGAAUGGAAAGUAAUGGGGAGAUUGAGAGUAAGCAUGACUCACCACGGUAUAUCAGAGAUGCAGGUCCUGAAUUAGUUGGACUUGAGGGCGAGGAAUUUUUUCCACCUGAGUGCGAGGAGAUGUACCCCCAAAUUCGUACCACUACCAUAGACCUGCACGUGCGUAACAUCAUGGCAGCAAAUUACAGUUUUCUAAAAUAUUGGCAAUGUAGCAUCAUGGCUGCAAAUUACAUUGCGUACAAGUGGGGUCAGAACAAAAGCUACAGUCAAAAAUGGGGCCCAAAAUGGAAAUACAAUCCAAAAUAGAAAAUCAAUGAAAAGUUGAAAACUGUAGUAAGAUGAGGAUUUGCACUUGGCAAUGUAGCUUACCUACAACUGAGGUUUGAACAAAAGCUACAGUUAUAAGCACAUGAGUUGGUUGUAGAACUGAUCUAAAUACUUCACCAUUGAUUAGUAUCUCGUUGAGAGUUCAC